rnacentral:rRNA from 1 species
AGAAUCAACGCUGGCGGCGUGCCUAACACAUGCAAGUCGCACGAGAAAGGGUAGCAAUACCUGAGUAAAGUGGCGCACGGGUGAGUAACACGUGAAUUAUCUACCUCCGAGUGGGGAAUAACUGAGAGAAAUCUUAGCUAAUACCGCAUAACACUUACGAGUCAAAGCAGCAAUGCGCUUGGAGAGGAGUUCGCGGCCGAUUAGUUAGUUGGCGGGGUAAUGGCCCACCAAGACGAUGAUCGGUAUCCGGCCUGAGAGGGCGCACGGACACACUGGAACUGAAACACGGUCCAGACUCCUACGGGAGGCAGCAGUGGGGAAUUUUGCGCAAUGGGGGAAACCCUGACGCAGCAACGCCGCGUGGAGGAUGAAAUAUCUUGGUAUGUAAACUCCUUUCGAUGGGGAAGAUUAUGACGGUACCCAUAGAAGAAGCCCCGGCUAACUUCGUGCCAGCAGCCGC